UGAGCUUGAUCCUGGCUCAGGAUGAACGCUAGCGGCAGGCUUAACACAUGCAAGUCGAGGGGUAUAGCACUUCGGUGCUAGAGACCGGCGCACGGGUGCGUAACGCGUAUGCAAUCUGCCUUUCACAGAGGGAUAGCCCAGAGAAAUUUGGAUUAAUACCUCAUAGUAUUAUGGAGUGGCAUCACUCUAUAAUUAAAGUCACAACGGUGAAAGAUGAGCAUGCGUCCCAUUAGCUAGUUGGUAAGGUAACGGCUUACCAAGGCAACGAUGGGUAGGGGUCCUGAGAGGGAGAUCCCCCACACUGGUACUGAGACACGGACCAGACUCCUACGGGAGGCAGCAGUGAGGAAUAUUGGACAAUGGGCGCAAGCCUGAUCCAGCCAUGCCGCGUGCAGGAUGACGGUCCUAUGGAUUGUAAACUGCUUUUGUACGAGAAGAAACACUCCUAUGUAUAGGAGCUGACGG
rnacentral:rRNA from 1 species